rnacentral:rRNA from 1 species
UACGGGGGGGGCAAGCGUUGUUCGGAAUUACUGGGCGUAAAGGGCUCGUAGGCGGCCAACUAAGUCGGACGUGAAAUCCCCAGGCUCAACCUGGGAACUGCAAUGGGAACUGGCGGGCUUGAAUGCGGCAGAGGGGGGUGGAAUUCCGCGUGUAGCAGUGAAAUGCGUAGAGGUGCGGAGGAACACCGAUGGCGAAGGCAGCCCCCUGGGCCGACAUUGACGCUCAGGCACGAAAGCGUGGGGAGCAAACAGG